UUACCAUUGCAUUGCCUGUUGAAGAUGUGGCCGAAGCAUAGCUGAAUGUAGCUGAAAAACUUAGUGCGAAAAUGCCAUUGGCCUAAAACACGCACGAAUAAUUGUGCAAGCAUGGUUUGUUGGCGAGGGGAAUGAAGACAAUACAUUGUUCGAUUUCAUUUGUCGAAGCUUCGUUGGAUGUAAAUUUUUUAGUUGCGCAUAGCACCAUGCUGGAUGGAAAAAUUGGAGAAGUUCGAUAAUGCCAUUGAGUGUUACUGGAAAGCCUGCACUGUGGGUUAUAUUGUAGCAGCGGAAAAUUUAAAUGAUAAACGAAUGCAAUCGCCAUAGUAGCAGCCACCUCAUCAGGCAAUAUUAUGUAAAUGGAGUUCAGCGAUCCUGCAAUCGGAUUUGAAAAUGUCCAACAAACGCCGGCAAUCAGUGGUAAAGGCACUUCUAGUCUAAUUUUCAAAUAUUUUACGCUUAACUAACAAAUUUUUAAUAAAUUGUUUUAAUAGUUAUUUCUAUUGUA